ACAUAAUGCUGGCAAAAUAGAGAGGGAGAGAGAAACGAAGUGGAAAGGCAGAAAAGUUAACCAAGCUUGCGCUCGGUUGGCUACCCAACCU
rnacentral:lncRNA from 1 species